AUGAAGAAACUUGGACUUCUCCCUGCUUCACAGAUGGGUUAUGAGGCACUCCAAAGAAAGCGGCAUUCUAAGAAGUAUUAUGACCAUCUCCUUGGAAACCACGUGGCAUCACUUUACCACAUUCUUUUGGUCACAAGGAGAAGGAAUUAUAUACCAGCUGUUUUUGGAGGCAUGUGUCAGGCUGGAAUGCACUGGCACAAUCAUGGCUCACUGCUGCCAUGGACUCAUUCCUGGGCUCAAGUCAUCCUCCCACCUCAGCCUUCUGAGCAGCAAGGACUACAGGGUCUCACUCUGUUGCCCAGGCUGGAGUGCAUUGGUGCGAUCUUGGCUCACUGCAGCCUCCGCCUCCCAAGUUCAAGCGAUUCCUCUGCCUCAGCCUCCCGGGUAGCUGGGACUACAUGCCAGUGCCACCACACCACCAGGUUUUGA
rnacentral:lncRNA from 13 species